AUUGAACGCUGGCGGCAGGCCUAACACAUGCAAGUCGAACGAGUGGCGGACGGGUGAGUAAUGUCUGGGAAACUGCCUGAUGGAGGGGGAUAACUACUGGAAACGGUAGCUAAUACCGCAUACCAUCAGAUGUGCCCAGAUGGGAUUAGCUUUUUGGUGGGGUACCGGCUCACCAAGGCGACGAUCCCUAGCUGGUCUGCACGGAUGCACAGACACAGUGUAACUGAGACACGGUCCAGACUCCUACGGGAGGCAGCAGUGGGGAAUAUGGCACAAUGGGCGCAAGCCUGAUGCAGCCAUGCCGCAUGUAUGAAGAAGGCAUUCGGGUUGUAAAGGACUUUCAGCGGGGAGGCGUUACCCGCAGAAGAAGCACCGGCUAACUCCGUGCCAGCCGCCGCGGUAAUAC
rnacentral:rRNA from 1 species